CCUACGGGGGGCUGCAGUGGGGAAUAUUGGACAAUGGGCGAAAGCCUGAUCCAGCCAUGCCGCGUGUGUGAAGAAGGCCUUCGGGUUGUAAAGCACUUUCAGUGGGGAAGAAAGCCUUGGGGCUAAUACCCUCGAGGAAGGACAUCACCCACAGAAGAAGCACCGGCUAACUCCGUGCCAGCAGCCGCGGUAAUACGGAGGGUGCGAGCGUUAAUCGGAAUUACUGGGCGUAAAGCGCGCGUAGGCGGUCUGAUAAGCCGGUUGUGAAAGCCCCGGGCUCAACCUGGGAACGGCAUCCGGAACUGUCAGGCUAGAGUGCAGGAGAGGAAGGUAGAAUUCCCGGUGUAGCGGUGAAAUGCGUAGAGAUCGGGAGGAAUACCAGUGGCGAAGGCGGCCUUCUGGACUGACACUGACGCUGAGGUGCGAAAGCGUGGGUAGCAAACAGGAUUAGAUACCCCAGUAGUC
rnacentral:rRNA from 1 species